rnacentral:rRNA from 1 species
AUUGAACGCUGGCGGCAUGCCUUACACAUGCAAGUCGAACGGCAGCACGGGUGCUUGCACCUGGUGGCGAGUGGCGAACGGGUGAGUAAUACAUCGGAGCGUACCUUAUCGUGGGGGAUAACGCAGCGAAAGCUGUGCUAAUACCGCAUACGCCCUGAGGGGGAAAGCGGGGGAUCGCAAGACCUCGCGCGAUGAGAGCGGCCGAUGCCUGAUUAGCUAGUUGGUGGGGUAAAAGCCCACCAAGGCGACGAUCAGUAGCUGGUCUGAGAGGACGAUCAGCCACACUGGGACUGAGACACGGCCCAGACUCCUACGGGAGGCAGCAGUGGGGAAUUUUGGACAAUGGGGGCAACCCUGAUCCAGCAAUGCCGCGUGAGUGAAGAAGGCCUUCGGGUUGUAAAGCUCUUUUGUCAGGGAAGAAACACCGGCUCUAACACAGUCCGGGAAUGACGGUACCUGGAGAAUAAGCACCGGCUAACUACGUGCCAGCAGCCGCAGUAA